rnacentral:lncRNA from 10 species
CAGAAAAAGAGGCAAUAGGAUGAGGUUCUAGAGGGGCUUAAAGAUGUCUUUCUCAUAAAUGUGAUAUUUCAAAUGAGGACUGAAGAUAAAGAAUGUUGGGGAGAAUUUUCUAGACUCUGCACUGGAUGGAUCAGCUGACACCACCCAGAUCAGUAAUCUGGCUCAACUUGCUCUGCCAUCCUACCCAGAACAGAAAACAGCAAGAAAACCUCACUUCAACCCUGAGAGAUUCCAUCUCCAACCUGACCAAUCAGCACUCCCCACUUCCCAAGCCCCUACCUGCCAAAUUAUCUUUAAAAACUGAUCCUCGAAUGCUCCUGGAGACUGAUUCGAAUAAUAAUACAACUCCGGUCUCCCACACUGCCAGCUCUGCGUGAAUUACUCUUUCUCCAUUGCAAUUUCCGUCUUAAUAAACAGCCUCUCUCUAGGCCGUGGGCAAGGUGAACCCACUGAGCGGUUACAAAUUUUCAGAAUUGGAGAUAGCAAUGUAAAAAGUGGUCUGAUCAUGCAGGACUUUCAAAGCCAUAUUCAGAUGCUCCUUGAGGGUUACUGGUGCAGAGAGCAGCACACGUCUGGUUGAGAAGAUGGCCUGGUGUGGAAUGAUGAGCAUUUUUCCAGUGCUUCCUAAUGUACCAAUCAUCACUAUCCCUGCUUUGGUCAUGCCAUAGGCCUUUGAUUCAUGAGCAUAACUUUGUAAUUCAUUUAUCGUCUGAUGGAUGCUCAAGUAAAGUAUGCAGAAUUAAUAUAUUUUAAACUUGUUUUUAGGCAAAGAAGCAUUAUUAAGCAUCAAAUCAUUGAAAAAUGAAGGCUCUUAUUUAAAUCCAAAUUGGGAAUAUCAAUAGGAAGAUGACAUAUCUUUUUC